GUGGGGAAUUUUGGACAAUGGGCGCAAGCCUGAUCCAGCAAUGCCGCGUGCAGGAAGAAGGCCUUCGGGUUGUAAACUGCUUUUGUACGGAACGAAACGGUCCUGGUUAAUACCUGGGGCUAAUGACGGUACCGUAAGAAUAAGCACCGGCUAACUACGUGCCAGCAGCCGCGGUAAUACGUAGGGUGCGAGCGUUAAUCGGAAUUACUGGGCGUAAAGCGUGCGCAGGCGGUGCUGUAAGACAGGCGUGAAAUCCCCGGGCUCAACCUGGGAAUUGCGCUUGUGACUGCAGUGCUGGAGUACGGCAGAGGGGGAUGGAAUUCCGCGUGUAGCAGUGAAAUGCGUAGAUAUGCGGAGGAACACCGAUGGCGAAGGCAGUCCCCUGGGCCUGUACUGACGCUCAUGCACGAAAGCGUGGGGAACAAACAGGAUUAGAAACCCUGGUAGUCC
rnacentral:rRNA from 1 species